AUCACUCCUCAGCCCAAGAUCAAAUGUAAUACCUGUUCUUAUCAGUGUAAUAUCUGAUACGUCUCCCACCCACGGACCAUAGAUUGAAUUGAUUUUUGGAACAGGGAGAUGGAACAUGGGCUUGCUCCAUCCUCUCUGUGUAUUGACCUGGUAUUGCAGUACUUCCAGGAAUGGUGCACCCUUA
ensembl:snRNA U2 U2 spliceosomal RNA